GGGACCCAGAGCGCAGGGAGACAGGGGGCGGUGGCACACAGGGCUGCAGUGACAGAAAUAAUGCUCCUGACAUCGCCUAAAAUGAUCUCCACCCAGUCCUCCCUUCCCCCAUCAUUCCCAGCACCCAGCACACCAGGCACGGCCUCCCCUUGCCUGCAGCCCUCUGCCGCACGUCCUUCACAGAAUCGCAGGCAAUUUCUAUCCCCAUCCAAGGGAACUCUUCCCGUCAAAAGCAUUUCUGCAUACUUCACUGGACUCACUCACUGAAUGCCCCUUUCCAGUAGCUGCCUACAGCCCCUGGUCUUGUCCACCGAACAUCACCAAUCACGUCUGAUGCCACUGGUUACUCAUUUUCCGCAUGGCUACCCCACGGCAACUGGGCUUACAGACACGACAGUGACCAUGGCUGACCUUGAGGGGCUCCAAAACAAAUGGGGGACAUGAAUUCACCUCAAAACUAAACGGGCUGCCUAAAUGCUUUGACAGAAUUAUAAAAGAUGAUGGAAAUUCGGGGCAGGAGUGGCGGAUGACAAAGGCGGGAAGAGGGAAAUAAAAUCUAUGAACUGGGCUGAAAGCUAACAGAAUUUAGACAGGUAGAGCAAGUGCAGGGAGGAGAGGGAGAUCCCUCAGUUCAAACUACUAGCUGUCGAAGUGCUCUCAACUCUCCAGGCCCCGCCCCUCAGACCCAUUUCCUCCUUGGAGCCCCGCCCCUUCAGAUUCGAGCCAACUGCUCAGACUAGGCCAACCCCCUCCCCUUGGCUUGUUCUAACCCUCAGGGCCAGCUCACCUUCCCCAGUCCCUGGGCCCUGACCCAACGCUGCACUCUCCAAGUUGGCAUUAAGCGCGGCAGGGCUAAAAUUAGGACUGUUUCCAUAGAUAUCUAGACGUCUACGUAGCAAAUCUGUUCAGCUCCCAAGUAGGGGGAAAAAAGAUUUCUUUUUUUUCCAUUCUGACUGUAAAGCAACUAUGGGGUUCUGGAAAUUCCAAACUGGCUCACAUCUGGCACAUGACCCUGAGGCUUGCCGACCCCGUGGGAAGGGAAAGAGGAGGUGUCUCGGGUCUGUGCAGGGGCACAGAUGGGGCCCCCACUGAGCUGUGAGGCAGCAGCGUGAGAAGCACCCGCCUAGGCCACCAGUCCACACUCGCCCUCACUUCCUCCUGGAAGGGGGUCCCUUCCGGGAGGUGGUCCUGCCUCCUCCUCCUCCCACUUCAGAGACAG